rnacentral:rRNA from 1 species
AUUGAACGCUGGCGGCAGGCUUAAUACAUGCAAGUCGAACGAGUCGCGGACGGGAGAGUAAUGCUUGGGAAUCUAGCUUAUGGAGGGGGUUAACUACGGGAAACGGUAGUUAAUACCGCGUACCUUAGGAUGAGCGCAAGUGGUAUUCGGUAGUUGGUGAGGUAAAGGCUCACCAAGUCAACGAUCCCUAGCUGGUCUGAGAGGAUGAUCAGCCACACUGGAACUGAGACACGGCCCAGACUCCUACGGGAGGCAGCAGUGGGGAAUAUGGCGCAAUGGGCGCAAGCCUGAUGCAGCCAUGCCGCGUGUAUGACGAAGGCCUUAGGAUUGUAAAAUACUUUCAGCGGGGAGGCGUUACCCGCAGAAGAAGCACCGGCUAACUCCGUGCCAGCAGCCGCGGUAAUAC